UGGGGAAUAUUGGACAAUGGGCGAAAGCCUGAUCCAGCCAUGCCGCGUGAGUGAUGAAGGCCCUAGGGUUGUAAAGCUCUUUUGUGCGGGAAGAUAAUGACGGUACCGCAAGAAUAAGCCCCGGCUAACUUCGUGCCAGCAGCCGCGGUAAUACGAAGGGGGCUAGCGUUGCUCGGAAUCACUGGGCGUAAAGGGUGCGUAGGCGGGUUUCUAAGUCAGAGGUGAAAGCCUGGAGCUCAACUCCAGAACUGCCUUUGAUACUGGAAGUCUUGAGUUCGGGAGAGGUCAGUGAAACUGCGAGUGUAGAGGUGAAAUUCGUAGAUAUUCGCAAGAACACCAGUGGCGAAGGCGGCUCACUGGCCCGAUACUGACGCUGAGGCACGAAAGCGUGGGGAGCAAACA
rnacentral:rRNA from 1 species